rnacentral:rRNA from 1 species
UACGUAGGGGGCAAGCGUUGUCCGGAUUUAUUGGGCGUAAAGAGCGUGUAGGCGGUCAGGUAGGUCCGUUGUGAAAACUCGAGGCUCAACCUCGAGACGCCGAUGGAAACCAUCUGACUCGAGUCCGGUAGGGGAGUGUGGAAUUCCCGGUGUAGCGGUGAAAUGCGCAGAUAUCGGGAGGAACACCAGUAGCGAAGGCGGCACUCUGGGCCGGUACUGACGCUGAGGAGCGAAAGCGUGGGGAGCAAACAGG